AGGUUAGUGGCAGAAGUGGUGAAUGUAUGGGGUUGUAGUUCCUAGUGUAGUCUUUGGACUCUAACUUA
rnacentral:tRNA from 2 species